rnacentral:rRNA from 1 species
GAUGAACGCUGGCGGCGUGCCUAACACAUGCAAGUCGAGCGUGAUUGCUAUGAGUGGAGACUUCGGUUGAAGCGAGUAGCAUGAAAGCGGCGGACGAGUGAGAAACGCGUGGGCAACCUGCCCCAUACACGAGGAUAGCCACUGGAAACGGUGAUUAAUACUCGAUAAGACCACAGCACCACAUGGUGCAGCGGCCAAAGAUUUAUCGGUAUGGGAUGGGCCCGCGUCUGAUUAGCUAGUUGGUGAGGUAACGGCUCACCAAGGCGACGAUCAGUAACCGACCUGAGAGGGCGGACGGUCACACUGGAACUGAGACACGGUCCAGACUCCUACGGGAGGCAGCAGUGGGGAAUAUUGCACAAUGGGCGCAAGCCUGAUGCAGCAACGCCGCGUGAGUGAAGAAGGCCUUCGGGUCGUAAAGCUCUGUCCUGUGGGACGAAACAAAUGACGGUACCACAGGAGGAAGCCCCGGCUAACUACGUGCCAGCCGCCGCGGUAAAAC